UACAGAGGGGCAAGCGUUGUUCGGAAUUACUGGGCGUAAAGGGCGCGUAGGCGGCCUGCUAAGUCGAACGUGAAAUCCCCGGGCUCAACCCGGGAACUGCGUCCGAUACUGGUUGGCUUGAAUCCGGGAGAGGGAUGCGGAAUUCCAGGUGUAGCGGUGAAAUGCGUAGAUAUCUGGAGGAACACCGGUGGCGAAGGCGGCGAGCUGGUCCAUUACUGACGCUGAGGUGCGAAAGCGUGGGGAGCAAACAGG
rnacentral:rRNA from 1 species